CUAGUAGAUUUUUUUUCCAAGUCAAAAUUGCCAAACACUUGGAGAUGCCCUUUUUAUUCUCUCUCCAUAUUGUUUUGGGAGUUGGUAAAUAAUAAUAUUUACUAAACAAAAUUUGCAAAACUGUUGAAGUUGCUCUUCCACUAUCAUUUUCAAUGCUAAGUCUACCCCAUAUAACCUCUCUCACUAAGAUAGCCCUCCUCCACUAAAAAAAUAUACCUAGAAAAUAACCUUGUAGAAAUCAACCAUUUAGAUUGUUUUUAAGUCUUCUCUCUCAGACCGGACGAUCAAUAUCACGUGUAUGGUACUCCCCAGACCCCUGCCAUCUCCGAUGCCCCGUGCCUAAUUUCCUUAAGUUGCUUUAAAUUUUUAAACUGCGCUAUAUUACAUGUAGAGUAGUACAUAACAUAAGAGACUGAUAGUAGCUAGUUUCCAAAUUAAAUCCAGUAGAACAGGAAAUACCUUU
rnacentral:lncRNA from 1 species